AGCAGCCGCGGUAAUUCCAGCUCCAAUAGCGUAUAUUAAAGUUGUUGCAGUUAAAAAGCUCGUAGUUGAAUUUCGGAAUCUGUCCAUCGGUCGGGCUUCACUGUCCGUACUGGUGUGGUGGGUUCUUACCUUCUGAAUAACCAGCAUGCCAUUCACUUGGUGCGUUGGGGAAGCAGGACUAUUACCUUGAAAAAAUUAGAGUGCUCAAAGCAGGCUAGUGCCUGAAUACAUUAGCAUGGAAUAAUAAAAUAGGACGGCAUGGUUCUAUUUUGUUGGUUUCUAGGAUCACCGUAAUGAUUAAUAGGGAUAGUUGGGGGCAUUAGUAUUCAAUUGUCAGAGGUGAAAUUCUUGGAUUUAUUGAAGACUAACUACUGCGAAAGCAUUUGCCGAGGAUGUUUUCAUUAAUCAAGAACGAAAGUUAGGGGAUCGAAGACGAUCAGAUACCGUCGUAGUCUUAACCAUAAACUAUGCCGACUAGGGAUCGGAUGAUGUUAAUUUUAUAAUGACU
rnacentral:rRNA from 1 species